GACAACCCUGCUAAUACCAUUCCCAACAUCUCACCUUCAUCCUCUGAUCCUUUAGGUAACCUUUCCAAUCAGCUGUAUGAUGAUCUACUUAGGUUAUCCCAUAUUCAGGACAAGUUUCUGGUGUGUCCCUCUGAUGUGGAUUUGGAGGUGUCACUAAUCAAGGCUAGGAUCUGCAAAGCUUUGGAUGCAAUGGGUGAUGAGAUAAAGACUGUGAUUGGUCAACGGG
rnacentral:lncRNA from 1 species